rnacentral:rRNA from 1 species
AUGGCGGGCGGCGGCGAUGUUGACAAGCAGGCGGCGGCGGCGGCGCUGGCCCAGGACCUGCCCAGCUUCAAUAGCUUCUUUGACCAGACGGAGGAUUUGGAGGAGCUGGAGUGGCUGUCGAACAAGGACGCGUUCCCUUCGGUGGAGACCAUGGCGGUGGAGGCGGUGGAGGAGGUGCCGGAGCCGGCGCCGGCGGCCCCCUCGGGGCGGCCGGCGGUGGGGCCGAGGACCAAGGGGCGUCGGCGCCGGGUGACGGCGCCUUGGAACCUGGCGCAGCCGCCCACGCUGCCGCCGCCGCUCCCGGCGGCGCGGCGGUGCACGCACUGCGCAUCGGAGGUGACCCCGCAGUGGCGGCAGGGGCCGCUGGGGCCCCGCUCGCUGUGCAACGCGUGCGGCGUGCGGUACAAGACGGGGCGGCUGCUCCCGGAGUACCGGCCGGCCAACAGCCCCACCUUCUCCCCGCUGCUGCACUCCAACUCCCACCGCCGCGUCAUGCAGAUUCGGCUCCGGAGCGAGAGCGAGGGCGAGGGCGAGGGCGCCUCCCCCGCCGUCCGCGCCAACGCCAAGGCCCGCCGCGCCGAGCGCGCGGCGGCGCGCCUCGCCGCCAAGAAAGACGGCGGCGCCCCUGCCCCAGCCCCAGCCCCUGCCCAGGCGGCGCUGCCGUAG